rnacentral:misc_RNA from 1 species
GAUGAAAGAACGUAGCGAAAUGCGAUAAGUAAUGUGAAUUGCAGAAUUCAGUGAAUCAUCGAAUCUUUGAACGCACAUUGCGCCCAUUAGUAUUCUAGUGGGCAUGCCUGUUCGAGCGUCAUUAAUUCCACUUAAGCCCUGCUUAGUGUUGGGAAUCUACUAUAGUGGUGCUACCCUGGAGCUACCCCUGAAAGGGGGCUGGCCCGGUAGCUACCCUGUAGUUCCUCAAAGAUAGUGCGCGGAGUUGCGUGGUCCUCUGAGCUUAGUAACUAUACACCUAGCUUUUGAGUGUCCCGCGGCGCCUGCCGUUUAAACCCCAUCUUUUAAUGGUUGACCUCGGAUCAGGUAGGAAUACCCGCUGAACUUAAGCAUAUCAAUAAGCGGAGGA